AUUGAACGCUGGCGGCAGGCUUAACACAUGCAAGUCGAGCGGAGAUGAGGUGCUUGCACCUUAUCUUAGCGGCGGACGGGUGAGUAAUGCUUAGGAAUCUGCCUAUUAGUGGGGGACAACAUUCCGAAAGGAAUGCUAAUACCGCAUACGUCCUACGGGCGAAAGCAGGGGAUCUUCGGACCCUGCGCUAAUAGAUGAGCCUAAGUCGGAUUAGCUAGUUGGUGGGGUAAAGGCCUACCAAGGCGACGAUCUGUAGCGGGUCUGAGAGGAUGAUCCGCCACACUGGGACUGAGACACGGCCCAGACUCCUACGGGAGGCAGCAGUGGGGAAUAUUGGACAAUGGGGGGAACCCUGAUCCAGCCAUGCCGCGUGUGUGAAGAAGGCCUUAUGGUUGUAAAGCACUUUAAGCGAGGAGGAGGCUACUGAGACUAAUACUCUUGGAUAGUGGACGUUACUCGCAGAAUAAGCACCGGCUAACUCUGUGCCAGCCGCCGCCGUAA
rnacentral:rRNA from 1 species